AGAGUUUGAUUCUGGCUCAGGAUGAACGCUGGCGGCGUGCUUAACACAUGCAAGUCGAACGGAGUUUUUAAACGGAAGUUUUCGGAUGGAAGUUUAAGAACUUAGUGGCGGACGGGUGAGUAACGCGUGGGUAACCUGCCUCAUACAGGGGGAUAACAGUUAGAAAUGACUGCUAACACCGCAUAAUAUAGCGAAACCGCAUGAUUUUGCUAUCAAAUAUUUAUAGGUAUGAGAUGGGCCCGCGUCUGAUUAGCUAGUUGGUGGGGUAAAGCCUACCAAGGCGACGAUCAGUAGCCGGCUUGAGAGAGUGACCGGCCACAUUGGGACUGAGACACGGCCCAAACUCCUACGGGAGGCAGCAGUGGGGAAUAUUGGACAAUGGGGGAAACCCUGAUCCAGCGAACCGCCGCGUGAGUGAAGAAGUAUUUCGGUAUGUAAAGCUCUAUCAGCAGGGAAGAUAAUGACAGUACCUGACUAAGAAGCCCCGGCUAACUACGUGCCAGCCGCUGC
rnacentral:rRNA from 1 species